rnacentral:rRNA from 1 species
GGGUUGCGGACAGUGUCUGGUGGGUAGUUUGACUGGGGCGGUCUCCUCCCAAAGAGUAACGGAGGAGCACGAAGGUUAGCUAAUCCUGGUCGGACAUCAGGAGGUUAGUGCAAUGGCAUAAGCUAGCUUGACUGCGAGCGUGACGGCGCGAGCAGGUGCGAAAGCAGGUCAUAGUGAUCCGGUGGUUCUGAAUGGAAGGGCCAUCGCUCAACGGAUAAAAGGUACUCCGGGGAUAACAGGCUGAUACCGCCCAAGAGUUCAUAUCGACGGCGGUGUUUGGCACCUCGAUGUCGGCUCAUCACAUCCUGGGGCUGAAGUAGGUCCCAAGGGUAUGGCUGUUCGCCAUUUAAAGUGGUACGCGAGCUGGGUUUAGAACGUCGUGAGACAGUUCGGUCCCUAUCUGCCGUGGGCGCUGGAGAAUUGAGGGGGGCUGCUCCUAGUACGAGAGGACCGGAGUGGACGCAUCACUGGUGUUCGGGUUGUCAUGCCAAUGGCACUGCCCGGUAGCUAAAUGCGGAAGAGAUAAGUGCUGAAAGCAUCUAAGCACGAAACUUGCCCCGAGAUGAGUUCUCCCUGAGACUAUAAGUCUCCUGAAGGAACGUUGAAGACGACGACGUUGAUAGGCCGGGUGUGUAAGCGCAGCGAUGCGUUGAGCUAACCGGUACUAAUGAACCGUGAGGCUUAACCUU